rnacentral:tRNA from 1 species
GUGGGUAUAGCUCAGUGGUAGAGCUUUUGACAUCAAAUCACAAGGUCCCUUGUUCAACUCCAGGUGCCUCCU